GCAGUCUGCAACUCGAGUGCAUGAAGCUGGAAUCGCUAGUAAUCGCGAAUCAGAAUGUCGCGGUGAAUACGUUCCCGGGUCUUGUACACACCGCCCGUCACACCAUGGGAGCCGACAACGCCCGAAGUCAGUGACCUAACCGAGAGGGAGGAGCUGCCGAAGGCGGGGUUGGUAACUGGGGUGAAGUCGUAACAAGGUAUC
rnacentral:rRNA from 1 species